rnacentral:rRNA from 1 species
CCUACGGGUGGCUGCAGUGAGGAAUAUUGGUCAAUGGACGCGAGUCUGAACCAGCCAAGCAGCGUGCAGGAAGACGGCCCUAUGGGUUGUAAACUGCUUUUAUAAGGGAGUAAACUCCGAUACGCGUAUCUUUCUGCAAGUACCUUACGAAUAAGGAUCGGCUAACUCCGUGCCAGCAGCCGCGGUAAUACGGGGGAUCCAAGCGUUAUCCGGAUUUAUUGGGUUUAAAGGGUGCGUAGGCGGGGGGGUAAGUCAGCUGUGAAAUGCUGCGGCUCAACGGGGUGAAGUGCCAUUGAUACUGGCAGGCUGGAGUGCGGUUGCCGUGGGAGGAAUGCGUGGUGUAGCGGUGAAAUGCAUAGAUAUCACACAGAACUCCGAUUGCGAAGGCAUCUUACGAAGCCGCGAUUGACGCUGAUGCACGAAAGCGUGGGUAUCAAACAGGAUUAGAUACCCUUGUAGUC